ACUUAAUGACUCCGCCCCCCCUAAUUCCCUGCCACCCCCGCGGUAAUACGGGAGUGGCAAGCGUUAUCCGGAAUUAUUGGGCGUAAAGCGUCCGCAGGCGGCUUUGUAAGUCUGCUGUCAAAGCGUGCAGCUUAACUCCAUUUCAGCAGUGGACACUACAAGGCUUGAGUGU
rnacentral:rRNA from 1 species